rnacentral:lncRNA from 1 species
UCUAGCCUCUGGGCUGGAGGGUAUCCGAGGGCAGCAGGAUCUGGAAGGCUCUGGAGCCCUUCCACCUGGCAGGCAAUAAUUCAGAGCUCACACAAAGAGCCUGGGUGAGUCACUAGUCUGCUGAUUAGGCUGCUCUCCUGGGAGGGAGGCACCUGGAUCCCAGACCCAGGAAAGCGAUUGCUCCAGGCUAGUUUUGGCAGAAGAGCUUGUUCCUCAAAAGAAGCAAGGGAUGGAACAAAUUCAGAAGCAGGUCACAGUGAAAUUUUCUGGCUGAAUAGGCAACCGAGUCUGCAAGACUCGUCUCAAAACAUCAUCAACUGCAGGUUUCCCAUUUUUCUCUUUAGCUGUACAAAAUA